rnacentral:rRNA from 11 species
AAAACAUCCUUGGCUUUUUCUUGGGAUUCGUGCUCACGUACUUAACUGUGCGUUGACCGUGUUCCAAGACUUUUACUUUGAGGAAAUUAGAGUGUUUCAAGCAGGCUUAUGCCAUGAAUACAUUAGCAUGGAAUAAUAGGAUAUGACUUCGGUCAUAUUUUGUUGGUUUCUAGGACUGAAGUAAUGAUUAAUAGGGACAGUUGGGGGCA